AGAGUUUUGAUCCUGGCUCAGAACGAACGCUGGCGGCAGGCCUAACACAUGCAAGUCGAGCGCGCCUUUCGGGGCGAGCGGCGGACGGGUGAGUAACGCGUGGGAACGUGCCCUUCGGUGCGGAAUAUACCAGGGAAACUUGGGGCAAUACCGCAUACGGUCUACGGACGAAAGAUUUAUCGCCGAGGGAUCGGCCCGCGUUGGAUUAGGUAGUUGGUGGGGUAACGGCCUACCGAGCCGACGAUCCAUAGCUGGUUUGAGAGGAUGAUCAGCCACACUGGGACUGAGACACGGCCCAGACUCCUACGGGAGGCAGCAGUGGGGAAUCUUGGACAAUGGGGGAAACCCUGAUCCAGCCAUGCCGCGUGAGCGAUGAAGGCCUUAGGGUUGUAAAGCUCUUUCGCCUGGGAAGAUAAUGACGGUACCAGGUAAAGAAGCCCCGGCUAACUCCGUG
rnacentral:rRNA from 1 species